GGGCGCGGCCUAGGCCCAGGCACCCGAUGCGGGAGCGGCCCAGGCCCGCACGCGCGGGCCGGCCCAGGUCCAGACACCACUUGGGCCUAGCUUGUACCCUAGUCCACCAUGGAUCGGGCGGUCCAUGGCAGACCGUGUGGACCUCCUGGGCCUUUUUCUGACGUUUCUCACGGUCCACGAUACUAUUUCGUAGACCGAUCGCGAUCGGACAACCCA
rnacentral:lncRNA from 1 species